rnacentral:lncRNA from 1 species
GCACUGUGCUCCUACUGGCUCUGGCCAGGAGUGGCCCCCAACACCCUCUCUGGGGAGCUCAGGACCUAAGAGAAACCCCAGCACCUGGAGAAGCCCCAAGAGGAGAAGACACUGGUUGAGGAACUGACUCAAACAUUUGAAGGCAAAGACCUGCCUCCUGAGGACCUCUGCCCUCUUCAGGACAGCUUCUUCAGGUAUGAGGAGGAAAUGGAACCACAUUCUCAUGCGGUCCCGUGCCAGCCAUCUGUGAGCUUCAAGGACGUGGCUGUGACCUUCACGCAGGAGGAGUGGGGACAGCUGAAUCUGGCCCAGAGGAGACUGUACCGCAACGUGACUCUGGAGACCUGGAGCCACCUGGUCUCUCUGGGUAAGCCAAGCUCUGCCCAUCACAGCAGUUUCUGUUUCAGGGACUCAAAGCUCUGGCUCUUCUUAAGGGUAUGCCCGGGCUGGACCAGAGCAUUCCAGAAAUGGAUUUCUUUGAGAUACAGGUCCUGGAUAUUGCCACUCAUUCUGCCUGACUUCUGCUUUCCAAACCGGAUGUGAUCAGCUGGCUGGAGCAAGGACAAGACUCAUGGAGGGCAGAACAGGGACCUCCCCAAGGUGAGAGCAGGCCAGAGACCUGGUGAGUUAACAUGGCAAGAUUGCUCUCCACAGGACCCUGGGUCCAAAGAGGGGAGGAGGAGCAGAGAGCUUCCUUGGGUGUUCUCUGCUGCUUCCUCACAUCCAAGGCAACCACAUUCUCAUCCACAUAGGCCUAUCCCUCUGUCCCCAUGAAAAACACAUGUCACUGUUGUCCCAACGUUUCUCAUGUGUGGGUUCAUUUCAGUUCCCAUCUUCCCUUUGAUCUUCAUCCCUCAGCUGCUUCAUCUAUUCCUGGGUCCUUGUGCCCCCUCUUUUCCUUGAGUCCCUUACCCUGACUUCCACCCAGGGCAGCAGCUCCUCAGAUCUCUCCAUCACGCCUGGUCUAUGUUGGACAUUCCUACAACUUCUAGAUGAUCCAGAGGUGUGGUGAGAACUUGUGCAUCCUAGGAAAUGGCAAUGACCUAUUCCUUCCAGAAGGAUUCCUACUAACUCAGUUCCUGGGCUUGUUUUCCCACCUCUUCUCAUCCCAUAGGCCCACCUCCUUAUAUGCCCCAGUGUCUCAGCCGGAUUGGAACUCUUUUUUUUUUUUUUUCUUUAAUAGCCAUAUUGAGAUAAAAUUCACAUGCCAUACGAUUCACUCAUUUAAAGCAUGCAAAGGAUUUUAGUAUAUUCACAGCAUGUGCAUCUGUCACUAUAAUCAAUUUUAGAACAUGUUCAUCACUGCAACUAAUUAGGCUGGUUCUGAUUUUUUUGUUGUUGUUUUGUUUUAAUUAAUAGACUUUAUUUAUUAGAGCAGUUUUAUGUUUACCAGAAGUUGAACAGAAAGUACAGAGCUCCCAUCUACCACCCUUCCCCACCACAAACACAGUUUCCUCCGUUAUUAAUAUCUUAUAUUCUGUGGUACAUUUGUUACAGUGGGUGAAGAUGUAUUCACACGUUACCAGUAGAGAUCAGUAGUUUACAUUAGGUUCAUUCUUGGUGGUGUACAUUCUGCGGGUUUGGGUAAAUGUAUAAUGCCGUAUCUCCAUCAUUAUAGUGUCAUGUAAAGUAGUUCCACUGCCCUAAAUAUCCUCUGUGUCCACCUAUUUUUCCCUCCCUCUGUCCUAACUCCUGGAAACCACUGGUUAUUUUACUCUUUCUAGUUUUACCUUUUCCAGAAUGUCCUGUAGUUGGAAUCUUGCAGUAUGUGGCCUUUCUUAACUGAAAGCAGCCACUGUGUGUCCUUCACACCACCUUCGACCUUCACACUACCUUGUGACAUUCCUUUAGCCAGAGGUGUUGGGUUUAUCUUACAUGUUUCUGCUCUUUCUUACCCUGUAACUCUCACCUAUAGCCUCUGUUAUUUUUCCCUCUGAAGUGUCACCUACUUUUACUUGUCCUUGGCCCUUCAAAUGAUGCCAUUCUGAAUUCAGUUUAUGGGUGGCAUCUUUCUUCUCAUCUGUCAUAGAUACUACUUUCUAGCUGACCCACACAGUCUGUUUUCCUCAUUUUGCGAUCUUGAUGGAGACACUGUGUAAAAUGUCUAACUUCCUUUGCCCAGUUUCCAAUGACCAGGCACAGCUUGGACACAUCUUAGCCACCCAAAGACUUCUUUCCUUCUUCCUGUCUCCAAAUACCCUUUCACUCCCUUUCAUUAGGCCAUUGUUUCAUUUGAAAAAGUUCUCAUCAUCAGGGAUUCCAAGGCAACACCAAACAGGAACACAGCACAGAGUCUUGGGAAGGAGAACAGUGUUGGGCAUGGAGGGCAUUGGACUUAGAUAAGGACUUUGUCCAAGAGGGAAAUGUCCUCCUGGAAGUCAGAGGAGGGCCACAGAGCGUAAUUAAUAUUUUGCAAAACAGAGGAUCCUUGUCUCCUUAGCAGACAUGGAGAGUGAAGCAUGGGGACUUGAUCAGAAGUCUUGAUAGUACCAGACGUGGGUGGCUACAUGACUGAAAUGGGGAGAGUGACAAGUAAAGGGGGAAUCAUGGAGGACCCAGGCAAGGUCCUGAGCUGAGAACCUGUACCACUCAUUAGAGGCCCAAUAUUUCAACAAAGGGAGGAAUCCCUGUUAGGACAAUAAAAGGGGUGCUCAUAUCA